UAUGUGUAAGAUAUAUUGAACCUAGGACACCGCUAAAGGACCUCAUACUAUGGACGAGAUGUUGUGUCCAAUCAUUUUACACAUAUUAAAAAUUAACA
rnacentral:sRNA from 1 species